AAACUAGAGGCUCUAAAGAGCCUGUGUCACUCACCUUGGUCUAUGUGCAUAUUAAACAAAGAACACAGAUGGAUUCAUGACAAAAUUGUGUUUUGGUGAUGGUGAUGUGUUUGUAGAUCUUACUUUACUGAACAUUCUUGCUACUUACAAUUUUCUCUAUCUAUAUAGACUUAAUUGGCCCUUUAGAUACAGAGGAAAAUAUUUUGUAAAAAUUUACAAAAAUAUACCAAAUUAAUGAAAAUUGUUAAAAAUUGACUAUAAAGGGCAAUAACUCCUUAAGGGGU
rnacentral:lncRNA from 1 species